UGGCGGCCGUGGAGGGGAGCUGGACGGCGGGGACGUGGCACCAGCAGGCCCGCAGGUGAUCGGCUGUGUGGGGAGGCGAGGGGGCCGAGCGGGGAGGACAGCCAAAUAAGACAAGGGGACGAGCCACCAGGCCUGCACGGCAGCACCAAGGAGACUCCCAGGGGAGGAGCCGCCACCGGGACGCCCGGCACCACCCCUCAGUGGCGGCCCAGAGGGGCGUCCUGUGCAGGCCUCGCAGCCAGGUGCCUGGAGCCCCCUUUGAGGCACGGCCCGGGGGGCAGAGCUGGGAGGGCAGUGGCCGCAGGGUCCGCACAAGUGCAGCAGGUGAGCAAGAACAACCCUGGGCAGAGCCACCGCGAAGCCAUUCCACUGACCGAGCUCUCUGUCGCCGGUCCCCACGGCGCGGGCUGUCUGGGGCCCCUGGUACCCUGGACCCCGUGUUGGGCCCGUGGCCUCGCAGGCGUCUCCGUCCACACGAAGCCCAGCACAGCUUGCUGGCCGCUCACCUCCUGUCUUGGGCUUGACUUCUCCCACCGGCUGAGCUCCAGCCUGUGCUGGGAUACCCCAGGGAGGCUGGGGGAGGGGGAGACCUGGAGGGGUGGGGAAGGGGGAGGGGUUAGGGUUAGGGGAGGCCUGGCGGGCUUUUUCUCUGCUGCAGCCAGGGCCUGGGCUCUCCAGGUGGAGGAGAAGGUACGGUCCCUCGUGGUUGGUUCUGCAGUGACUUGGGUUCACAGGCUGCUCAGCUCAGGGUCAGAGUGCGACGUGGACAAGCAGGCUGUUGGGAGGGGGAGUCCCCUCCUUUCAGGACGGGGACCUCGGUGCUGCCAGAGGCACCUGCCACCCCGCAGGCUGCAGGCGACCUCAGGCAAAGGACAGAACCUGCAAGAAGGGACACCUGGAGGACGUCCCCUGGAGCUCAGGUUCAGACGUGGGAGGAGGGGCCCUGUGGGGCUAGGAAGGGACUCUCGGAGGACUCAGAUGUGGCCCAGGGCAAAGCGAGGCAGAGACACUGACAGGGCCUGGAAUCCGCCAGUACCAAAAGGGAGGCCCAGGCCCUUCUCCCUCCUCCCACCACUGCAGAGCAGCCUCUGGGCAGAGUCUGCGGGUCCCCAGCAGCGGGAGCCCAGCAGGCCCAGCUCAAGGGUCCCAGUACCGCAGGGCGGGUAG
rnacentral:lncRNA from 1 species